CUAUUUAUAUAAAUGAGAAUAAUUAAAAACUAACAAAAACAUUAAGUAGCGUCAGAGUUAUGAUUAAGGUACUUCAUAAGCUAUUAGCUGAGUUGAAGUUACCUACUCCGAAAAUUAAACUAUUUGACCUUUGCAAGAGACAGAAGCCUCGAAAAAAAAAAUUAACAGAAAAUCUUUGUCUAUUCACAGAAAAUGAAUUGAAAUUCACUCCAUUACAGAAGUUAUUUAUAGAAACCAAAAAGUAUAAUACAAUCCUAGGAAAAUAAAUAAAGAAAAAUUUGAGGACAUAUAUAUUAAUAUAUGAACUAAAGUCAUCAUAUAUUAAUGAAAAAAAAAUCCUGAGACAGAAAAAUUGUUAGAACCCUGGGAAGCAAUAGUAAAAAUUCUCAAAAGAAUGUAAAAAAAGAAUUCACGUGAAAAAGAACUCCUCAAUCUCAUCAAAAUCAAAAUUGAAUAAAAAGUGUUUUAAUUUCUUCAAAAAUGUUAUCAGUGAGCCCGUGGAUGUAAUAUGUAGAGGUAACUUAUUAAAGGAAUUUGGAGCACUGUAAUCGUAAAACCGUUUGAAGGCUUCACAUGUAGGGUUUGCAAGAACAACCGAAUUUCAAUUAGGAAAGUUUGAAAUUAUGAAAUUGCUAUAUAGGAAUCACUGGCUCUAGUUACAUUAAAAUGGCUGCCUCCGUUGGACUCGUGAGCGCUACAACAGCCAAUCUUAAUCAAAGAUAAAAAAUUACAGAUAUCUGAAUUAAUUGCAUCUAUUUUCGAUAAAACAUAUUGAUAAGAAUGACUGACAAAGAAAUGUUCACUCACUGCAAGAUGAUACACAAUACUUUCUAUACUCUGUACAAUAUUAGUUGUGAGGGAUAUGCGCAGCAGAGAGGUAGGGAUACAAUGGCUGUGAUGUUACCGUUCUGAACCGGCCAGCAUUCUCUAAUUUCUAGUGAUUCUUCAGGCGCUCAUGUUGAACUUACGGAGAUUGCUCUCUGAAAGCCUUCAGUCGACUGACUCUAAUCGACAAAUUGGCAACUGCGCUUCUACCUAUGAAUCUAUAUCACAGUUAAUUGUCUGAUCUCCCUCGAUUUCUCUGCGCCUAAACUCAUAUGAAGUUUCUAAUUUGUAAAGUAACUUUUGAAAUAUUCUGUACUAGUGAUCGGUAUUAGUAUAAGUUCUAGACUUUAACCAGCUUUAAACUUCAGAAACAUGGCUAUCCGAGCCAGGCCGUUAACGUAGUCGAGCACUUGAAUAGACUGCAGUUUAUAAUUUCACUUUCUGAGUAAAAAACUUGUAAGACCAGGACUUGAAUUAGAUUCUUGUUUCUUGCCGAGGUCAAGUGUUAGUACUUGACGAGAGUAACAAUAAUAUGUCAUCACAUUGGCCAAAUUCACUCCUUUUCUUGAGCUAUAAGCAUUUGAAGAUGAGUGAUUUUUCUGAUCUGAGAGUGGAGGUAAUAUUUUAUGUUUCAGUGAAUAACUUACCCUGUAUUGUAGCAAAACGUCUCAUCUUGUAGCACGACACUUGUCAGGUCAACCUCUACCCAUAGCCCGAAUAUCAAACAAACUGGGAGAUAAGCAUUAAGAUGAACAUUAAUAAUAAGAUAACAGUCCACUCCACAACUGCCGACAGUGCCGACCACAUCCGGCAGGCGGGCAAAAAAAGAAAUUCAUAUCUAUCGUGGAGAGGCGGGCGAGAGAGGAAAGAGAUGUUUCCAUCCCUACCAUUUUCGCCGAUGAAGCAAUCAGGUUAAUCAAAAACGAAUAUAUUUUUUAAGUAUAAGUGGUUGCUAUAUGUUUUUCCAUAUUGACUGUAGGACGGCAGGAGAAUGAUUUCUGCUUUCCGAAUUUGGUGCAUUUGAAAUUCUAACAUUAGAAAAUAGCAAUUUUGAAUAUAUUUUAACGAAUAACUUCCUUUCGACCAGUUGUAACGUAUGAGAAAUUUGAACUUUGUUCGAAUAAAUCUAAAACGUUACCUUUUUGUAAGGUAUGAAAUUCGGCUUGCCUCACCGUUUGUGAUGUCAAUUCAAUUCAAUUCGAUUUAUUUUUCCUACUGAAUACAAUCCAAAGCAGUUACAUAGAAUCUUGAGCAAUAAAGUUUAUACAAUUCAAGAAAUGAUAUAAUAUACUUACUAAAAACAAACAACAAAAUAUAGAACUAUACUAAACAAUACAACUCUUGAGCUAUCACAAUUUUAUUCUUGUAUAAAAUUCUUGUAUCAGAUAGGAAAGAGCUUCAUAGGCAACAAAGGCCUGUGCGUAAGCUCGAGUUAUCGUAACAAUAUGUGUUAUAUCUAUAAUUAUGAAGAGAGAUCUCAAUUUUUAUUAGAGGUCUAAACUACAUUAAAAUAAUUUUCAAUUAUGAAACUAUAAUCCCCAUGCAUUAAGAAGGGAUAAAAAAGUGGAAAACUAAAUUAUAAAUAACUUUAAAUUUAGAAAUAAAAGAUGAUGAAAACCAAGGAAUAGCGAGGAAGGCUACAAUUUAAAUAACAAAUUCAAGUCAGGAAAACAGAUCAGACAAGCAUGACAGAACUGAAAAAAAAAUCUCUCUGAAGGCACCCAAAUUGAAUCAAACACGCGCACCCCCAGUAACAAUGAGUGAGACGGCAUUAUCCUCACUGAUAUCAAACAGCCAGUUCUUCAAGUGCCACUUGAAUGUAUGGUUGUUAAAGUAAUUCAAAGUAUACAAAUUAACGCAUCACUAAAUUAAUAGAUUAUUAAAUCUACUAAUUGUCUAUUAUUAGUUGUUGAAUAACUGUUGCCCUGUCAUAUACCGUAUCGCACUGAAGCUGCCCGAAAAACUUUGCAGUGUGCCUGGGUUGAGAGGCGAGACGGACAACGGACGACGAGCGCAUCAAACAACGAUGAAGACGACCGCUGCGUGCUGAACCGGACGGAGCCUACACGGGGACCAGGACGACGCUGCAAGGCUGGACCAACUCCGCCGCUGAGGGCAUCACCGACAACCACGGCCAAAAGACGACCUCUGUGCUGAACCCGAUCGCUCAAGCAAACCAGACAUAGAUAUGCAGCUGUACGACGGUUGUGCGAACUAGGGCCAGAUGUAGGAGGUCGAUUCAACCCAAAACACCACAAUCCAUCGAAGAGAUGCGGGCGUCUCUUCAGGAAGAUCGCUUUGCCAACCUUCGUCGAACGAGAGAUGGACAGAGUGACUUGUUUGUGGCGGGAGUGGGAGGCGGAACAAUCGGUUGAUGCGAUUGUCCACCUGGGACAGGCGAACCACAUGGAACCUUCAAAGUCGUCCCUAGAAGACCAUGAGGCCUGCUACAGCUGUUCACUGUACACCUAUUGUACAUGGAUGACGUAUUUCCAAUUGCCUACUUCGUGAUGACCUCACUAACUGCAGAAUCGUAUUUACCAAUUAUGUAAUUCGUGAGACACCUAGUUGCGUGGAGAGUGGAGAUCAUCACCACAGACUUUGAGGCGGGCCUUAUGAAUGUGGCAAUGCAGGUGUUCCCUGUGGCGCGACAUCAUGGAUGCUGGUUUCACUUUUGCUAUUCAUUUUGGAGAAAGGUGCGUCGGAUAGCAGGUCUAGCUCAGCUAUGCCGCGAUGACCAUUUAGUAAUGCAAGUCGUUAAAAUGGUGAUGGCGCUGAUGCACUUACCAGCCGAAAAUGCCCCGAACGAUCCCAAUGUGCCUCAAAAUUGCACAAUUGCUGAUGACCUGGUUGCCAUCAGUAACUAAAUCAAUGAGGCACAAAUGGAUAUCCAAUUGCAGGAGCUAAUCGAAUAUGUUCGGAGACAUCUCCAACUUUGAUGUGGCAAGGAGGACCAACAAUGACCUGGAGGGUUACCACUCAAGAUUGCUUGCCAAUCCAAAUAUUUGGAGAUUCGUCAGUGAGUAAUUGGAAAACAUAAGCACUUAGUUUUAUUGCAACUCACUCCUUCAAAUCCUUAAACUUUGACUCACAGUCACAAUACAUCUGAAAAGUAAUUAGCUGUUAAAAAUAGGUUGUGUGGGUUGAAAUUUUGUAGUGUUUCACUUAAGUAUAUGAAGAUAAAACACUGAUUUUUUCAAUAUCACUUCUAUUUAUAAAAAUAUUAACUUAAUCACGACCUAUAGAUUUCUUGACAAGAAUCUUCUACAUCCUCAGCUCAACUAAUGGUCAUUGAAAAAUUCUCAGUUAAAUAGAUUAAGUCGACUCCAUACAUGUGGCAUUCUUCCAACAUCGAACUUAGUUGGAGAGAGUUAUGAAUAUGCCAACUGUUCCUGAGCCGUUUUCAGAAACAGCUGGCAUAAUUUUCUCUCAAUCUAACACCGUUAAUUGUUCACAGAAUGCCGCAUUGAGAUAACUAGU